GAGUUUGAUCGUGGCUCAGGACGAACGCUGGCGGCGUGCCUAAUACAUGCAAGUCGAACGAGUCCUCCCAAUUUGAUUUUAUGCUUGCAUAAAUGAUUUUUGGAUUCGGGACGAGUGGCGAACUGGUGAGUAACACGUGGGUAACCUGCCCUAAAGCAGGGGAUAACAUUUGGAAACAGAUGCUAAUACCGUAUAAUUAGUUGGAACCACAUGGUUCCAACUUGAAAGAUGGCUCUGCUAUCACUUUAGGAUGGACCCGCGGCGUAUUAGCUAGUUGGUGGGGUAAGAGCCUACCAAGGCAACGAUCAGUAGCCGACCUGAGAGGGUGAUCGGCCACAUUGGGACUGAGACACGGCCCAAACUCCUACGGGAGGCAGCAGUGGGGAAUAUUGCACAAUGGAGGGAACUCUGAUGCAGCAACGCCGCGUGAAGGAAGAAGGUUUUCGGAUCGUAAACUUCUAUCGACAGGGAAGAAAAAAUGACGGUACCUGAAUAAGAAGCCC
rnacentral:rRNA from 1 species